GAAGCCAAAAGAUUAGACACCCCGGUCUACUGGGAGAACCCUCAUGAUGUUCUCAACUCUGUGCUUGUUGUAUAUCGGUCUACAUCUCCCAUCCAAAUACUAACCAGGCCCGACCCUGCUUAGUUUCCAAGAUCAGACAAGAGCGGUGUGUUAAGGGUGGUAUGUCUGUAGGCUAAU
rnacentral:snoRNA from 1 species